GGAGUACGCCGGCAACGGUGAAACUCAAAGGAAUUGACGGGGGCCCGCACAAGCGGAGGAACAUGUGGUUUAAUUCGAUGAUACGCGAGGAACCUUACCCGGGCUCAAACGGGGAGUGGCGCAGGCAGAGACGCCUGUUUCCCACGGGACACUCCCCGAGGUGCUGCAUGGUUGUCGUCAGCUCGUGCCGUGAGGUGUCGGCUUAAGUGCCAUAACGAGCGCAACCCCCGCGUGCAGUUGCUAACAGUCAACGCUGAGGACUCUGCACGGACUGCCGGCGCAAGCCGCGAGGAAGGCGGGGAUGACGUCAAAUCAGCACGGCCCUUACGUCCGGGGCGACACACGUGUUACAAUGGGUGGUACAGCGGGAAGCCAGGCGGCGACGCCGAGCGGAACCCGAAAUCCACUCUCAGUUCGGAUCGGAGUCUGCAACCCGACUCCGUGAAGCUGGAUUCGCUAGUAAUC
rnacentral:rRNA from 1 species